AGGGAAUCUUCCACAAUGGACGCAAGUCUGAUGGAGCAACGCCGCGUGAGUGAAGAAGGUUUUCGGACCGUAAAGCUCUGUUGUUGGUGAAGAAGGAUAGAGGUAGUAACUGGCCUUUAUUUGACGGUAAUCAACCAGAAAGUCACGGCUAACUACGUGCCAGCAGCCGCGGUAAUACGUAGGUGGCAAGCGUUGUCCGGAUUUAUUGGGCGUAAAGCGAGCGCAGGCGGAAGAAUAAGUCUGAUGUGAAAGCCCUCGGCUUAACCGAGGAAUUGCAUCGGAAACUGUUUUCUUGAGUGCAGAAGAGGAGAGUAGAACUCCAUGUGUAGCGGUGGAAUGCGUAGAUAUAUGGAAGAAUACCAGUGGCGAAGGCGGCUCUCUGGUCUGCAACUGACGCUGAGGCUCGAAAGCAUGGGUAGCGAACAGGAUUAGAUACCCUGGUAGUCCAUGCCGUAAACGAUGAGUGCUAAGUGUUGGGAGGCUUCCGCCUCUCAGUGCUGCAGCUAACGCAUUAAGCACUCCGCCUG
rnacentral:rRNA from 1 species